UACGUAGGGGGCUAGCGUUGUCCGGAUUUAUUGGGCGUAAAGAGCGUGUAGGCGGCCAUGUAGGUCCGGUGUGAAAACUCGAGGCUUAACCUCGAGAUGUCAUCGGAAACCAUUUGGCUAGAGUCCGGAAGAGGAGAGUGGAAUUCCUGGUGUAGCGGUGAAAUGCGCAGAUAUCAGGAAGAACACCAAUGGCGAAAGCAGCUCUCUGGGAUGGUACUGACGCUGAGACGCGAAAGCGUGGGGAGCGAACAGG
rnacentral:rRNA from 1 species